GAUGAACGCUGGCGGCGUGCCUAAUACAUGCAAGUCGAACGAGGUGCUUUUGUAGCAAUACGAGAGUAUCCUAGUGGCGAACGGGUGAGUAACGCGUUGGUGACCUACCCCAAAGUGUGGGAUAACAGUCCGAAAGGAUUGCUAAUACCGCAUGUGGUCUUCGGAUUUAGAAACUGAUGACUAAAGGAGCAAUUCGCUUUGGGAGGGACCUGCGUCCCAUCAGCUAGUUGGUGAGGUAAUGGCUCACCAAGGCUACGACGGGUAGGGGACCUGAGAGGGUGACCCCCCCACAAUGGAACUGAAACACGGUCCAUACACCUACGGGUGGCAGCAGUAGGGAAUAUUGCACAAUGGGCGAAAGCCUGAUGCAGCAACGCCGCGUGUGCGAUGAAGGCCUUCGGGUCGUAAAGCACUUUUCUGGGAGAUGAGCAAGGACAGUAUCUCAGGAAUAAGUCUCGGCUAACUACGUGCCAGCAGCCGCGGUAA
rnacentral:rRNA from 1 species